UACGUAGGGGGCGAGCGUUGUCCGGAAUCAUUGGGCGUAAAGCGCGUGUAGGCGGCUCGGUAAGUCUGCUGUGAAAGUCCAGGGCUCAACCCUGGGAUGCCGGUGGAUACUGUCGAGCUCGAGUCCGGAAGAGGCGAGUGGAAUUCCGUGGUGUAGCGGUGAAAUGGCGCAGAUAUCAGGAGGAACACCAAUGGCGAAGGCAGCUCGCUGGGACGUGACUGACGCUGAGACGCGAAAGCGUGGGGAGCAAACAGG
rnacentral:rRNA from 1 species